rnacentral:sRNA from 1 species
CCUAACUCUCUCUGCCUUCUCUCUAAAUUUCCAGCUCUUUGAACCUUUCAAUCUUGAGUUGGAGGGUGCUCAGACGUUCAUCUCACUGAAGGCUUCCUUUUGAACCGAUCGCAUUUUUGAUUGGACCGGGUUUGGUUGAGUUCUCAUUUGGUGAGACACCGAGAGUUCUUGUGAGCUUGGUAAUUCGACUCUGAGAUGAUUGUUGAGGAGGUUCCCUUGGAGCAAGAGUUGGAGGAUGCUGAUGAUGCAAUAUAGUAUUUUUAGGAUUUUUAAAUUUAAGUUGGUGUUAUUUUGAAGUACUCUAAACUGAUUAAGUUUUAAGUUCUGUCCUUUUGUGGAUGAUUGUAAUAUCAGCUACUGAACUACUAUUCUACUCUGAAUGUUCUCUUUAUUGUAAUGUGG